rnacentral:tRNA from 1 species
AGAGGAAAAUGAAUAAAAAAUAGCUUCUAACUAAUUUUUUAAGCGGUUAAAAUCCGUUUACCUCUU